rnacentral:rRNA from 1 species
UACAGAGGGGGCAAGCGUUGUUCGGAAUUACUGGGCGUAAAGCGUAUGCAGGCGGACUUUUAAGUUGGGGGUGAAAUCCCGAGGCUCAACCUCGGAACUGCCUUCAAUACUGGAAGUCUUGAGUCCGGGAGAGGUGAGUGGAACUCCGAGUGUAGAGGUGAAAUUCGUAGAUAUUCGGAAGAACACCAGUGGCGAAGGCGGCUCACUGGCCCGGUACUGACGCUGAGAUAUGAAAAGCGUGGGGGAGCAAAACAGG